ACGGAGGAUGCGAGCGUUAUCCGGAUUUAUUGGGUUUAAAGGGUGCGCAGGCGGGACGUCAAGUCAGCGGUAAAAUUACGGGGCUCAACCCCGUACCGCCGUUGAAACUGACGACCUAGAGUGGGCGAGAAGUACGCGGAAUGCGUGGUGUAGCGGUGAAAUGCAUAGAUAUCACGCAGAACCCCGAUUGCGAAGGCAGCGUACCGGCGCCCGACUGACGCUCAGGCACGAAAGCGCGGGUAUCAAACAGGAUUAGAUACCCUGGUGGUCCGCGCAGUAAACGAUGAAUGCUAGCUGUCCGCGGGAAAUGCCCUGUGGGUGGCACAGCGAAAGCGUUAAGCAUUCCACCUGGGGAGUACGCCGGCAACGGUG
rnacentral:rRNA from 1 species